ensembl:lncRNA
GGCAGAGAGUCUUUUCACAGGACAACGCAACAGUUUGAUGGAGGGGUGGAAACAGGUACUCAGUUCCAUUAGCCUUGCGACCGUGGUCAGCCCACUUCAGGCCAGAAAGAAGUGGGACAACCUGGAAGAAAAGUAUUUGGAGCUGAAGUGCCCACCUAUAGGGGCAGAGACAGACAACGGGGAGGACGCAGCUGCCUCGUGGCCAUGGUACCCUGCCAUGGAUGCGCUGCUUGGCCAGAGGCACUCCAUCACACCACCCGUGCUGCGUGCCUCUAUGGCCUGCAGCUCCUCCAUGGCAGGGCCUUAUUCCACAGGUGCCAUCAUGUCCUCCCCACCACCGAGAGAGGAGAGGCAGGAAGGAAGGGGAAGGAAGCGGCGCUAUACCAUGGCUUUCCUUUUGGAGAUGAUGGAAAGAGGUCUGGCCCGGGAGGAGGAGCGUCAGCGGAAGGAGGAGGAGCGUCAGCAGAAGGUUGACGAAAGAUUGGAAAGACUGCUGACAAUUAUGGAGCGACUUGCAGAGAAAUAGAUAUAUUGAUAAUUAAACAUUUACAGCAUUAUGCUUUUUUUUUUUUUUUUAAGUACAUAUAAUGAUGACACAACAACAGAGUUCAGUUAAGUUAAAAUAACUUUAUUUUAUUGGAAAAAAAAACUCCCAUGUAGGAAGAAGUUUAUGAGUAUGUGGUUUACUCUAAGUCAGAAUAACACUAGGCCUGCCAUCUGUUAGCUAGCCUACACAUAGCCACGCUUCUGAUGUAACUUCAGCGUCUCAUCUGUUGAAAGGCUAGCCUACACAUAGCCAAGCUUCUGAUGUAACCUUAGCGUCUCAUCUGUUCUAUCCUUUCUCAAAGUAUAGCAUGACUUGUU